GCUGUGAUGGCCGAGUCGUUAAGGCGAGUGAUUCGAAUGCUGAAAAAUGUUAGAAGUAUCACUUGGUGUUUCACCGCGUAGGUUCAAAUCCUACUCGCAGCG
rnacentral:tRNA from 1 species